UGGGGAAUAUUGCACAAUGGGCGCAAGCCUGAUGCAGCCAUGCCGCGUGUAUGAAGAAGGCCUUCGGGUUGUAAAGUACUUUCAGCGGGGAGGAAGGGAGUAAAGUUAAUACCUUUGCUCAUUGACGUUACCCGCAGAAGAAGCACCGGCUAACUCCGUGCCAGCAGCCGCGGUAAUACGGAGGGUGCAAGCGUUAAUCGGAAUUACUGGGCGUAAAGCGCACGCAGGCGGUUUGUUAAGUCAGAUGUGAAAUCCCCGGGCUCAACCUGGGAACUGCAUCUGAUACUGGCAAGCUUGAGUCUCGUAGAGGGGGGAAGAAUUCCAGGUGUAGCGGUGAAAUGCGUAGAGAUCUGGAGGAAUACCGGUGGCGAAGGCGGCCCCCUGGACGAAGACUGACGCUCAGGUGCGAAAGCGUGGGGAGCAAACAGG
rnacentral:rRNA from 1 species